rnacentral:tRNA from 1 species
GCGCCUGUAGCUCAGCUGGAUAGAGCAGCGGCCUUCGAAGCCGCGGGCCAGAGGUUCGACUCCUCUCAGGCGCGCCA